rnacentral:rRNA from 1 species
GAUGAACGCUGGCGGCGUGCCUAAUACAUGCAAGUCGAGCGAACGGACGAGGAGCUUGCUUCUCUGAUGUUAGCGGCGGACGGGUGAGUAACACGUGGAUAACCUACCUAUAAGACUGGGAUAACUUCGGGAAACCGGAGCUAAUACCGGAUAAUAUUUUGAACCGCAUGGUUCAAAAGUGAAAGACGGUCUUGCUGUCACUUAUAGAUGGAUCCGCGCUGCAUUAGCUAGUUGGUAAGGUAACGGCUUACCAAGGCAACGAUGCAUAGCCGACCUGAGAGGGUGAUCGGCCACACUGGAACUGAGACACGGUCCAGACUCCUACGGGAGGCAGCAGUAGGGAAUCUUCCGCAAUGGGCGAAAGCCUGACGGAGCAACGCCGCGUGAGUGAUGAAGGUCUUCGGAUCGUAAAACUCUGUUAUUAGGGAAGAACAUAUGUGUAAGUAACUGUGCACAUCUUGACGGUACCUAAUCAGAAAGCCACGGCUAACUACGUGCCAGCAGCCGCGGUAAUACGUAGGUGACAAGCGUUAUCCGGAAUUAUUGGGCGUAAAGCGCGCGUAGCGGUUUUUUAGUCUGAUGUGAAAGCCCACGGCUCAACCGUGGAGGGUCAUUGGAAACUGGAAAACUUGAGUGCAGAAGAGGAAAGUGGAAUUCCAUGUGUAGCGGUGAAAUGCGCAGAGAUAUGGAGGAACACCCGUGGCGAAGGCGACUUUCUGGUCUGUAACUGACGCUGAUGUGCGAAAGCGUGGGGAUCAAACAGGAUUAGAUACCCUGGUAGUCCACGCCGUAAACGAUGAGUGCUAAGUGUUAGGGGGUUUCCGCCCCUUAGUGCUGCAGCUAACGCAUUAAGCACUCCGCCUGGGGAGUACGACCGCAAGGUUGAAACUCAAAGGAAUUGACGGGGACCCGCACAAGCGGUGGAGCAUGUGGUUUAAUUCGAAGCAACGCGAAGAACCUUACCAAAUCUUGACAUCCUUUGACAACUCUAGAGAUAGAGCUUUCCCCUUCGGGGGACAAAGUGACAGGUGGUGCAUGGUUGUCGUCAGCUCGUGUCGUGAGAUGUUGGGUUAAGUCCCGCAACGAGCGCAACCCUUAAGCUUAGUUGCCAUCAUUAAGUUGGGCACUCUAAGUUGACUGCCGGUGACAAACCGGAGGAAGGUGGGGAUGACGUCAAAUCAUCAUGCCCCUUAUGAUUUGGGCUACACACGUGCUACAAUGGACAAUACAAAGGGCAGCGAAACCGUGAGGUCAAGCAAAUCCCAUAAAGUUGUUCUCAGUUCGGAUUGUAGUCUGCAACUCGACUACAUGAAGCUGGAAUCGCUAGUAAUCGUAGAUCAGCAUGCUACGGUGAAUACGUUCCCGGGUCU